rnacentral:lncRNA from 1 species
GUAUCGUUGAUGCUGUCCUGUUGAUGAUCAGACAGCCAUCAAGCCGCAGCUCCCCYAGCCAGGUUCAGUGCUCUGCUGGCAGAAAAUGAUCAGGAAGAACAAGCAAAUGAGCCAUGAACGUGACUGUGACCUGCAUGCAGUACACCACUACCUGGGAACCAUGCCCUUGAGACUGUCCUGCUGCCCUGAAGUUUCCCGCUAAGAUGCCAUUACCUUGCAAGUCCUGAGACACCCACAGUUUGGCUGGCGAUGCUGGCUCUGGCCUCACAGUCAAGAGUCUUGGAGCUUCAUGGAGCCAGCCACAUAAGAGCAACACCGCAGACUUGUGAAAGACCUCACCAUACAAGGAGGCUGAGAAAUACCUGCAUGAACUGUGCAAAGAAGAAACACAAGUGUCUGCGCAUUUCCCUUGCAGUUUUGGCCUAAGUAAACACCCAGGAAAAUAGAAAGACAGAGCACUGUAACAGAGCACUGCCCCCCCCCCCAAGAAUAUGGAAUUAGUCUAUGCAAAACCAGGAUACGUGCAAACAAUCUGAUCAUGCUGUAAUGACAAAUUUGUGAAAGUAAGAGCAUGUGUAUUGUUUCAACUGUCCUUUCACAACAUAGUGGAUUAACAGAGAAUAUGUGGCAAAUUAUUCACCCAGUCACUUAACCGGAAAACAAAGGGAGAUGAUUAAGAAACAUCAGUAUUCUGAAGCAGCAAUCAAACUGACCCAGCCAAGGAGUGAUGAAGAACAACAAGCUCAAGUCCAGCCAAGAAAUGGUGCAGUCAUCUUGCUUUAAAACCGCAGGUUUAUGGCCAAGAAUCUUUCGCAGACUUUUCUGCGGUAG